UACGGGGGGUGCGAGCGUUGUCCGGAAUCACUGGACGUAAAGGGCGCGUAGGUGGUUUGAUAAGGGUGUGGUGAAAGCCCGGGGCUCAACCCCGGGUCUGCCGUGCCGACUGUCAAACUCGAGGGCUGUAGAGGCAGACGGAAUUCCGGGUGUAGCGGUGGAAUGCGUAGAGAUCCGGAGGAAGACCGGUGGCGAAGGCGGUCUGCUGGGCAGUUUCUGACACUGAUGCGCGACAGCGUGGGGAGCAAACAGG
rnacentral:rRNA from 1 species